rnacentral:misc_RNA from 1 species
AACGCACAUUGCGCCCCUUGGUAUUCCUUGGGGCAUGCCUGUUCGAGCGUCAUCUAAACCUUCAAGCCCUGCUUGGUGUUGGGUGCCUGUCCCGCCCCCGCGCGUGGACUCACCUCAAAUCCAUUGGCGGCCCCCGCGUCGGCCACGAGCGCAGCAGAAACGCGAACUCGUGGGCCCGUCCGGGCGGCUCCCAGAAGCUACACCCACCCCUUUUGACCUCGGAUCAGGUAGGGAUACCCGCUGAACUUAA